GACGAACGCUGGCGGCGUGCCUAAUACAUGUAAGUUGAGCGCUGAAGGUUGGUACUUGUACCAACUGGAUGAGCAGCGAACGGGUGAGUAACGCGUGGGGAAUCUGCCUUUGAGCGGGGGACAACAUUUGGAAACGAAUGCUAAUACCGCAUAAAAACUUUAAACACAAGUUUUAAGUUUGAAAGAUGCAAUUGCAUCACUCAAAGAUGAUCCCGCGUUGUAUUAGCUAGUUGGUGAGGUAAAGGCUCACCAAGGCGAUGAUACAUAGCCGACCUGAGAGGGUGAUUGGCCACAUUGGGACUGAGACACGGCCCAAACUCCUACGGGAGGCAGCAGUAGGGAAUCUUCGGCAAUGGACGAAAGUCUGACCGAGCAACGCCGCGUGAGUGAAGAAGGUUUUCGGAUCGUAAAACUCUGUUGGUAGAGAAGAACGUUGGUGAGAGUGGAAAGCUCAUCAAGUGACGGUAACUACCCAGAAAGGGACGGCUAACUACGUG
rnacentral:rRNA from 1 species